rnacentral:rRNA from 1 species
UAGUCCACGCUGUAAACGAUGAUCACUGGUUGUGUGCGAUACAUAGUACGUGACUGAGCGAAAGCAUUAAGUGAUCCACCUGGGAGUACGUCGGCAACGAUGAAACUCAAAGGAAUUGACGGGGGCCCGCACAAGCGGUGGAACAUGUGGUUUAAUUCGAUGAUACGCGAGGAACCUUACCUGGGCUUAAAUGCAGCCGGAUCGUCCGUGAAAAUGGAUUUCUCUUCGGAGCCGGUUACAAGGUGCUGCAUGGCUGUCGUCAGCUCGUGCCGUGAGGUGUCGGGUUAAGUCCCAUAACGAGCGCAACCCCUAUUCUUAGUUGCCAGCGGUUCGGCCGGGGACUCUAAGAAGACUGCCACCGUAAGGUGUGAGGAAGGUGGGGAUGGACGUCAAGUCAGCACGGGGCCCUUACGUCCAGGGGCUACACACGUGUUACAAUGGCCGGUACAAAGGGGCA